rnacentral:lncRNA from 1 species
AUUUUUAUAAGCAUUAGUUUUGGGCAAUUUGGAUUUGUAAUGACUUUGUAAGAGCUUUACAAAGUCAAGUUUGUUUUCAGAUGACUUGGAUUUUGUGAAAUAAAAUAGGAUUGACGUUUCUAGUGAUUUCAAGAGUUUUGUAUCAUAUCUAUGGGUGAAAUUUUGUAGAUUAAUGGUCAUAGUUGUGCUUAAUAUGUAUUGUGAAUCUUAGCUUGAUCUAACGAUUGAAUUAAGGAUUAUUGAGGUUUAAGUGGGUCAAGGUCUCAAAAAGUAGAAUUUUAGGUCUAAUGAGGGUUUUUAAGAUUUAUUGUAAUUUACUAGUUGGAUUGGAGUAAAAUUUAUGUGUGAGAAUAUUAGACUUAUUUUUCUAUGUAUAUGAGAAUUUUGAGAUCAAUUGAAUGGUGAAAAGGAGAGAUAUUGGCUCUAAGAGAUUGAUAUCAAGGUCAGAGAAGGAGGCCGACCAAUAUCCAAGCAUGUUUUUGAGGCUAUCGUCUAUUUGAUAAUUUUGAUUGUUUUCAAAAAAAAAUUUGCUUUUUUUUAAUGUAAUUAUUAAAAAACGUACAAAUUUUGAAUUAAGAUCAAUAAUUCAUUCAUUAGUAAUUGAGAUUUAAAUCUGUUAUAAGAAUUACUAGGAUUUGAUUUAGGAUUUAAGGUUUGGUUUAGGAUUUGGUUAGGGUUUGAUUUAGGAUUUAGGAUUUGGUUAGGAUUUGAUUUAGAGUUUGGAUUUGAUUAGGAUUUGAUUUAGAGUUUAAUUAGGAUUUGAUUUAGGAUUUAAGAUUUUAUUAGAGUUUAUUUAGGAUUUGUUUAGGAUUUAAGAUUUAGUGAGUUUUUGGCCUAAAGUUUGAAUGAAGUCCAAUAGGAUUUUAACAAGGAUUAAAUUAAGAUUGAAUUGAGAUGUAUUUGAGAUAUAUUUAUGAUCAUUCUAAUAUUUCUUUAAGAUUUCUUAUUGUUUCUUUAUAAUUCCUUUGAGGUUUC